UACGUAGGAUGCGAGCGUUAUCCGGAUUUAUUGGGUUUAAAGGGUGCGUAGGCGGAAUAUCAAGUCAGCGGUAAAAAUUCGGGGCUCAACCCCGUCGUGCCGUUGAAACUGAUGUUCUUGAGUGGGCGAGAAGUAUGCGGAAUGCGUGGUGUAGCGGUGAAAUGCAUAGAUAUCACGCAGAACUCCGAUUGCGAAGGCAGCAUACCGGCGCCCAACUGACGCUGAAGCACGAAAGCGUGGGUAUCGAACAGG
rnacentral:rRNA from 1 species